AUUGCGAACCGAUCUGUCGCUCCUUCGGGAGAGGAAAGUCCGGACAGCGCAGAGCGCCGAACCUUUGGAAACGAAGGGUGUCUUUGACACAGAAAGUGCCACAGAAAAUAAACCGCCAUGCUUGCAUGGUAAGGGUGAAAACGUGAGGUAAGAGCUCACGCGUUGUACUGGUGACAGUACUCUGGGUAAACCUUUCGGGCUGCAAAGCCAUGUAUACCUGGGCUUGAGAGCUGCUCGCUCGAUCCAGGAGGGUAGGCCGCGCAGAUAAAUGGCAGAUGCUUCACUCUCGGGUGAAGAACAGAAUCCGGCUUAUAGGUUUGUAAAUAUG
rnacentral:RNase_P_RNA from 1 species